GGGGAAUUGUCAAUCCAAGCAGUGGAC
rnacentral:piRNA from 1 species